AUCAUUAUAGAGAAAAAAACCGAUUAAAGGCGAUUUGAUAUCUAUUUUUAUUGUAUUUUAAACAGCUGGAACUCGGUAUCACAUCUGACUCGCACUUCUGAAAUGGAUCAAAUAGGAUUUUGUCGUCGAGACUCGGAAGAACCCAGCUGCCUAAAUUAUAAUGCCAGUGGAACUCAAAACAGAAAAGAUACUUGUAUGCAAGACAUGGAGAAAAGAGCAGACUACAGCCUCUAUAUACCAUUCCUUGGUGCCUCCUUGAAUUGAUGUUUUUCAGGAUAACCAUGCAGGAAUAAAGGUUUACUCAGUAAAAAGUCUUGCUGACAUGAACAUGAUAAUCACAAGAAAGUGAAUAUAUUUCAUAACCGUAAGCAAUCUUCAAAAUACCAGAAAAUUUGAAAUCGGAGGCAAUGCUCAGAAUUUUAGAGAUUUUGUUGAAAGAGCUGAUGGGUCCCUUUAUCCUUUUGGAUAUAUUCAAAUUGAAAAGAAAGUGACACCAGGGAUGAAGUCAACAUGCAAGCCUAGCUUUCUGCAGUGCUACAAGGAAAAGUGCAAAAUUGAUGAGCUUCUGGUUUUCCUUUAGAGAAUUAAUUAUGAUUACAUGUAGUAUCAGUUAAGCUUCUGCCAUGAUGCAGGAACAUGUAUUUUU